rnacentral:rRNA from 1 species
GAUGAACGCUAGCGGCAGGCCUAAUACAUGCAAGUCGGACGGGAUUCAGGAGCUUGCUUCUGAUGAGAGUGGCGCACGGGUGCGUAACACGUAUGUAACCUACCUUUAUCAGGGGGAUAGCCUCUCGAAAGAGAGAUUAAGCCCGCAUAAAAUCACAGCACAGCAUUGUGUAAUGAUCAAAUAUUUAUAGGAUAAAGAUGGGCAUGCGGAACAUUAGCUAGAUGGCGGGGUAGCGGCCCACCAUGGCGACGAUGUUUAGGGGAUCUGAGAGGAUGGCCCCCCACACUGGUACUGAGACACGGACCGGACUCCUACGGGAGGCAGCAGUAAGGAAUAUUGGUCAAUGGGCGGAAGCCUGAACCAGCCAUGCCGCGUGCAGGAAGACGGCCCUACGGGUUGUAAACUGCUUUUAUACGGGAAUAAACCCAGAUACGUGUAUCUGGCUGAAUGUACUGUAAGAAUAAGGAUCGGCUAACUCCGUG